CCUGACACUCCGGUCUCAAAAAUGUUUUUGCUAAUUUGUGCCAUUACAAAGAGAACCUGUACCAUUUGCAUAUCAGACUGAUCCCACCAAUAAGGGGAGUCCAGAACUAAAAUUCAAGCAAUACAAAAACCCUGGACAAUAGUUUCAGCCUUCUUCUAAUGAAGCCAGCCACGCUGAAAAAAAUAGUUCAGUAAGAAUUUG